AAUGUGAAUUUUUUUACUUGAUAUAUAUUUGGGCCGAAUGGCCUCCUCUCGUUUGUAAAUUUCUUAUGUUCUUAUAUGACAAAUGCUUGCGGCGCGUCAACAGAUUUUUUUUUUUCUGAACAAGGUAUAUUUUAAUUACUACAAACUGUAAAUCCAGGCCAGAUUAAGUAGCUUCCCAGUUUCAAGAGGUUCUCAGUUUUCUACCUCUGUCAUCGUAUGUGGUGAGUAUUAUUUAAAGAGAGGGAGCAGCAGGAAAAUCGCUAUGCUGAACCGCCGUAACCACAUCUAAGCAACGUAUCUGGAAGGAGCGGCACCGAGCCCAGCCAGCAGCCUUCGGCAGUCGGAGAAUUGCCCCUGUGUCGUCUGCCGUGUUUGUGUUCAUGCUAGCGUAGCGAUAUGCACAGCAAGAACUUUUCACACGCAGCCAAAAGAUCUUCACCUCUUGUUUUUCACCCAAGCCCACAGCAGAUGAGAGGAAUACCAUCUCCCAGGGCGCUAGUUUCUAAGAACCGGCUGCUCUCCUUGUUCGAGACAAUCAGUCCCCAGUGGUCGACAUCUGUUUGGCAGCCAGACCCUGUGGUGCACUGGGACCAGCCAUGAGGGCCAGAAUGAGGCCCCUCCCUUUCUUAAAACCCCUCCCCGGCUACUGUGUACAGCUGAAACGCUCCUAACCAAAGCAGCUUUGCAGUUUUGCCAGUUCCAGGGAACGUGGGCUUCCAGUGUCAUCGUCGAAGAACAAAGGAAGACUCCGGCAUUGCUCAUUUGCUGUAGAGAACCGUCCAAUCACAGACGCUGUGCAAUCUGUCCAUGUCUUUAGGACACAUGAUGGAUCAGGAGAAUGGAGGUGCGUACAGCAUCGUCCAGGACCUUCAGCCCUGCUAAGCAGGUUAUGUGGGAGCAGGAAGGUCACCCAGAAGUUUCCAGAAGCUCAUACUUCAACAUGGAUUGGAAGUGAGAGAUGCCUCAAUCAAGGGAAUUAGACAUAUAAUAAAUCUCAAAUUUAAUGCACUGGGGGGCAACCCAGCCCCUCCCCCAGGAUUGUUAGAGGAAGAAACACAAGGUCUGAGGUCUAUUGCAUGACAGAUAUCAUCAAGUGGUGGAGAUAAGGUGGUGCUGAUGUAACCUGCCACAGCGCCGGUCUGUUCCGGUGCCUCUUCCACGCUUGGCUCCUUACCACCGGGGGGAUGGCAGAGGACGCAAACGACAGAGUGAAAAGCAGCUCCACACCUUCCACUGCGCCGCCCUGUUCUCCUGGAACAGCAUUGGUCGGCGGGGGUCCCGUUCUCCUCCCCAGAAAACGGACGUGCCCCGACACGUCCCACAGGCCCAGCGUGAGCGAGAAGCUCAGAAUCAGACCGUGGAGAACAUGGCUGGCGUUACUGAACAUUUCAACUGGUGCAGAGUCACUGGAGUUUGAAUCGGUCUCUGUGGUGACAUAACAACAAUCAUGGCUGCCAGAUCAGGCAGUUGGCCAUUUCAUUAUUUAUGUUCACUGCCACACCUUCUAGGCCGAAAUCCUCUUUGUGCAUGAGGCUUGUCUUUACAUCUGCGCUCUUUCACGACAGACUCGAUUAAAACGCAAGUAGUACUAGCGGAACAAAUCAGUACAUAAAGGUCCUUAGAGACUUUGGGGAAAGCGUAACAUGGCAGAGGGUUUCCAAUUAAAAUUUAAUUGCACAUUAUCCUCAGAGAAUAUAAAUUCUGCAGCAUUUGGCUAAGCAGGCUUUGAUACACUAUUCCAGUUCAUUUCAGAUUUUGAUCACAUUAUUUAAAUAGCUACAAUAUGUUGAAAAUACCUCUGUGAAUAUUAUUUUUCUUUUCUUUUCUUCUUUUCCUAUUAAUAUACUCGAUGCAUCUAUCCAUCCAUCCUUGUACCGUUUAUUCACUGCUGGGUUAUGGGGCAUUAUGGAAUGGGGAAUUACUUUUGACAUUAAAUGG